rnacentral:lncRNA from 1 species
GCUUUAGUUACUCUCUCCUAAGAAUGACUUCUUUCAGUUUGUCUCCCACAUCCAGAUUGAGGAAGAAGCCAUAUGCUUUGGAAACCAGAUCAGCAGAUGGCUUGUUUGGCGACCUAUUGCAUAAACUGAAGAAAUGAAAAAAAAGUUUUCCUGCCUGGAAAACAUGUUCUGCCACUGGCACCCAAGUACCUACCUUCUGCUUACAGAGGGAUGCCGGGUGUUUAUCAGGAGGGCAUCCAACAUUCUUAAGACAGUUUUAUAUAAGUGAAAGAGGAGUGGGAAAGUAGAGACAGUUCUUGUGAAAUGGAAAGCUAGUUAAGUCUUCCUUUCUGUGAAACAUGACACCACCCUGAAACCCAGCAGGGCUUCCUGUGUGAAGAUCACAGCCAGAAACAGUGGCAGAAUGAGAAGCACGUUCAUAUUAAUUGUCCCAUUUAACUUCCAUAAUCUGGUGUGUCAUAGAUUGCUUCUAGAGAACAACUUAUAUGAAGUAACAAACUGCCUACUACUUGGAAUCAGAGUUCCCCAAGGCCGGAAAAGUGACAGUCACCUAUGUCCCAUCGCAGAGGCACAGACACUGAAGCUCAUUCCUCACCUGGAGACUCUUGAUCUGGCCUCACUCAUAAAAUCUGGCUGUACUCAACAUCAGAAGAUGUGGAAGCGAUAACUGAUUUCACAUCAUGGAAAACAUCCACUGAAAAUGGUGAUGCAAACAGUAGUGACCACAUUCAACUGCUGCGGCCUGAACAUAUUGCGGUGUUUAUCAUGUCCAUUCUGUGAUUUCAAGUCACAACUGCCAUGAAAAAAUGUUUUGGGGAUCCUGAGAGCCUCCCAGUCAUCUCAAGUUGAAGGUGUGCUCUGUUUAAAUUUCCUUACAAGCUGAUGUAUCUCUACUUUAGAAAUAAAUCAAACAAUGUAUGUGCCAGUAAAUUACCUUUGGAAACGGACUCUAAUAGGGUUUGUACUUUUUUUAUUAAAAAAUAAAAUAGAAGAACCUUGGGUCCCAUUCUGUUGCUUGUUUUCUGCAUAUUAAAACUCUCAUCAUCAACAGUUCUUGAACAAUAAAGCAGGAGCAAUC